UACAGAGGUCUCAAGCGUUGUUCGGAUUCAUUGGGCGUAAAGGGUGUGUAGGUGGCGCCGUAAGUCGGGUGUGAAAUUUCGGAGCUUAACUCCGAAACUGCAUUCGAUACUGCGGUGCUUGAGGACUGGAGAGGAGACUGGAAUUCAUGGUGUAGCAGUGAAAUGCGUAGAGAUCAUGAGGAAGACCAGUGGCGAAGGCGGGUCUCUGGACAGUUCCUGACGCUGAGGUGCGAAAGCGUGGGGAGCAAACAGG
rnacentral:rRNA from 1 species